ACCCCCACCCCCCGGGGCCCAGGACGGCGGGGAAGGAUGCGCUGGGGCUGCCUGCAGCGGGGGAGGAAGGGUGGCAAAGGGACAACAAAAGCUGCAGCUCACUUCUGGAGAAAGCGCCCCGCCGCGGAGGGCCGGCUGCCAGCGCGACCUUGGGGCUGGGCUGAGGGGCUGAGGGAGUCCACUGCGCGGGAGAAGGGGCCAGGGACACCACGGAGAGGACACCCUUCUCUGCACCCUCAGCAGUAACCAGGAUUGUGGAUGAGCAGCUUAAGUGACGAAUCUGUUUUACAACAGCGCGAUGUCACAGUGCCACAGAAUCCUCAAAAGGGGGCGAAAGCAGGGUCUUUGGCUAGGCGCCUUAUUAAAGUCGCGUGAAGAGAAAAAGUGAGCCAAUGGACAGCAGGGAUUCCGUUAGCAGCAGUGGAAGUGGUCCUGCACAGGAACGCUCCUCUCCUCUCCCACACCAGCAGUGAAGGUUUUCAAAGCUUCUCUCCCUCCGCAUCUCCCUGUCUCGGCCUCAUUCGGCAGCCAGCAGAGCAAAGCAGCCUCUUGGGUCUCCUGCUUCAAACCCUGAAAGGAUUCAUGGCAUACGCCAAGUGUUCAGGAGAAGCAGGGUGAAGAGCAACUUCCCCCAGCCCUGACAAAGGGUUGUAGCAGGAGGACGCGGUGGCAGCGCACACAUCUGUGGGUAGAGAGAGCUCGCAGGGCUGGGCCUUGGCGAGGUGGAGCACGGCAGAAGGGUUUGUGGAUUCAGCCCGACUCUGUCUUGCCCUGAGCCCUGCAGCCCUGAGAGGGAAGCCCCGUGUGGUUCUGGUCGCUGCUGACCUAAGACAGCGUUCACUGGGGCCUGUGAGCAGCCCCUGGCGUGGAGCCCCUGGGGACACGAGGUCACCCCGCCCUGCCUGGGGACCAUGCGGCAGCCUCUAGGAGGAGAACUAGGAGAGAGCUGGGCCUGGGCCUGGUGUCUGUGUCCGCUUUCACUCCCGCUGAGCCUGAAGUGGAGCGGACGGUGGGACUCUCCGGCGUGGCUCAGGCAAAGUGCUGGCCUGGCACGCGUGCGGGUUCAGUCGCAGCCCUGAGAGACCUCCCGGGUGUGGCUCUGAGGAUGUUUCUGGAUGAGAUCCGCAUUUGAACCUGGGUGGAGGGAAGCAGAUCGCCCUUCCCAGGGAGCAUCUACACCCUCUCACCUGUUGGGCCCUGGAGGGAAAGAAACAGCAAAGGAAGGAGCGACCUUUGGCCUCUUCUGACUUCCUGCGGGGCCGGAACACCUGGCCUCUCCUUUUCCUGCCCUUGGACUGAGAUGUGCACCGCCAGCUCCCCCUGCUCAGCGUCCACCACUGACCUCCUGUGUCCCUGGCUUGGCCAUGGCCGAUCGUGGACUUGGUGGUAAAAGUUUCCUCUUCCUCUUCUUUUCCUCCCCUCCUCCAGCCUCCAUGGGGUCUCUCUGGAGAACCCUGGCUGACAGGCGGUGCCACUGUUGGGAGAAGUGUCUCCCCAAGGUGAUGGGACCCUGCAGAGGUGGGGCCUGGUGGGAAGUUCUGGGCCUCAGAGGGGCAGUGGGACCCUGGGCCCUUUUUGUCCUUGCCCCUUGGCUGUGGCACGGUGGGCUUGCUCUGCCUCCUCGUGCUCCCGGUGUGAGGCGCUGUCUCACCUCAGGCCCGAAGCAAUGGGGCGGAAGUCACUGUCCCCCUAGGAGUUAAUUAUCUCAGGUAUUUUGUUAGAGUGACAGGAAGCUCACUAGCACACAGCCCAGUUUGUUGACCCCUCGGAAAGCUCUAGCUGGACUCUGGACUAGGAACAGCAGCUCUGUAAGUGAGCCCCAAGGCCUGGGAUGUUUACACCAACCAGGGGGCCCUGACCGACAGGUGUGGGGCUUUCUUGCAUAUUCCCACGGCCACCAUGUUUCCUAGACGCUGUUGCUCCAGCGGCCUCACCUGCCUGGAGGAAGGGACGGAUUGUAAUCCCAAGGGAGAUUAAGAGGAGCCACAGAUUGUUUGGCACACUCGCAUCGGCAGCUGGGUGGGUGGAGGUGACGCUGAUCUUAUUUCCACCCCAGGUGCCACCUCCUGGCCCCUGGGCAUCUGCUGGGAGCUGAGCCAGCCCAGCACUCCGCAAGCCGCAGCAGAGCCUGGUUGUCCCCACAAGGUGCUGGAAGUGUGAAGGAAGCUUCUGGAAGUCGGAGGGAAGCUUCCAGAAGGCUCUGGCCGGCCCUGCUGCAGGGCAGCCACAGGCAGCAUCAAGGGGAGCCCGUGCUGGCAGGUGGCUCAGCGGAGAGCAGGAGGCCCGGUCCCCAGCCCCAGGACGGGUGGGAUGCGACAGAGUGACCGCAGGAUCUGCUCUGUGGAGCUGAGCCAUCCCCUCCAGGGCCAGCAACGUGGAACGUCAGGGCCCUUCAGUGCCGGGGCUUCACGCUGGUCCUUGCCAACAGAGACGGUUUGCAGGCAUCGAACUUGUCCGCACUUAACUCACUCUUGCAUUUCUCUCAGGCCAAAUGCCUUGUUGCUUCCCUCCCACGUUGCAUCUCACGGGGUCGUCUUUACGUUUCCUUCAUUAUCGUGGAUAAAAGGUCACACCUGGGGUUGGCAGGUUGCGGAACCGUGGUCUCUUGGUUUUUCUCACAAAAUCAAUCUCCAUGGUAGCUUGAGUUGAUUUAGAUGGAUUGGCCUUAGGUUUAAAAACUUAUGUAGCCAUUCUUUGUUUCUGUUACUAGUAUUCUUUUGUAUUCAUAUUUAAUAAAAAAAGUAUUUUAUAUGUAAGGACACAUCUACGUGGGUUU